rnacentral:lncRNA from 1 species
UACAAAAUACACAUCAGGCUGCACAGCGGGGAGAAACCGUACGUGUGUGACAUCUGUGGUCAGGCGUUCGCUCAGUCCAGCACGCUGACAUAUCACAAGCGGCGACACACAGGAGAGAAACCGUACCAGUGUGAUCUGUGCGGCAUGUCGUUCUCUGUCUCCUCCUCUCUCAUCGCUCAUGCAAGAAAACACACAGGUGAGACUCCGUACAAAUGUUCACAGCUGAAAUGCGAUGCAAGUUUUGUGACAUCGUCUGAACUGAAGAAACACAUGCGACGACUUCACCCAGAGGGGAACAACGGUGUGCAGUGCCUGCUAUGUGGAAACAGAUUUGCCAGCGUGAAGAACAUGAUAAAACACCAGGAGAAGGCUCAUGCUGAUGAAGUGCGACAACACAAGGAGAGAGCCAGAGCUGUCGUUCUCCUGGCAUCCAGUCAUCCUGUGGCCUUUGUCCAGAGCAAACUCUCCCAAGAAAACAAAGGUUUGGUCUCCAUCCCCGAAGGUGAGCCGCCAAACCCUGAACCAGCCACCCCCAACCCCAAAGCCACUGACCCAUCUGCAGAUGUCACCACCGCCGACGUCACCACCACUGACGGUGCCACAGCCACGACCGGCACCGUCAUCGACAGCUUCAAGCCAGAGCCCAUUCACUCGGCUAUCACCACCGCCGACCAGGUGACCUUCGAAGCUGACCAAGAGCAGACCAUCAACUCGGACACCCUCCACGCUCUAGUGGAGCAGCUGCGACCGCAACCCUCCCCCACCCAGAGCCUGGAGCAGAUCGUCAUCAUCAGGACAGUGGAUACUGCUGAAAACAACCCUCCUCAGCAGUGAGCCACAGCCGGAACAGAGGUCACUGUGGUAGAACAUUUUCACUAUUAAACAUACAAGCUUCACAGUCUCAGCCUUAUUCCCUCAUAAAUUUAAUUUAGACUUUAACAGGCAUUUCCUAAUUGGUAAGUGCAGGAUAACACAGAGUCGUUAUAGCUGAGGUCUUAUUUUUGUAGUUUUGUUAGUCAUCUGCAUUAGUAAUAAAAUAUUGUACUGUUAAAGUUAUCUGCUGAGUUACUAAAACACAUUAAAAAGAAGUCAGAAAGAUCCAAAUAAAGAACACACUGUUCAGUGAAGGAUUAUUACCCACUUUUUAUGGGCCUUCAGUUUGAGUUUAACCUCCAAACCUGAGGCUGUUAACUAAUUUUCAACCUGACUGAUCAUCACUCUGCUUGUUGCCAGAUCUCGGCUAUAACUUAACGAGAGUAUAAUCUUAUCAUCACUGAAUGUUUAAUCCGGAAUGAUGUUUAAAACUACAAAAAUAAGACCGGAGUUGUAACAAAAAUGGCCAAAAUUGUCCUUCAACUAACCUGCAUCUCUUGUGCUCAGGAGUCGUAGCUAUGUGGCAAAAACAGGUCGGCUACUUUUUCACUUUGGUGGAAAGUAAAAAUCGUUUCACUCAUUUCCGUGUCUAUGGAAAUUAAGGCUGCUUUUUCAAGAUUAAGGUGGAAAUGUUCUAUCUCAUUUCACUGCUGCUCAAGUCACUUUGAACAACAGCUUCAGCUAAAUGUGUCAUGUAUCUAAAACCACCUCUCUGAUCUAUAUUUUUCUCCAGUGUUUGAGUUUUUCAGCCACUACUUAACCAAAAACAGAGACUGGAGUUACUUUUCUGUGACAGUUCUCACUGGAUGGAAUAAUCAGUGUAAAUUUAAUGUCGCUCAAACGAAGUACUAAGACAAAUCUUGCAUUGUUUUAAAAGAUAAUGUAGAUUGUAGGAGCCUAGUUAUCGCCAUGAGAUAUGAUUUUAUUUAUCAUAUAUGUAUCACCUGCGAGUGUAUUGACAUGUGAUGGUGGCUUUUUUAAUGUAAGCACAGCCCUGUUGAUGCAAACCAAGGCUUUUGUUUCAGUGUAAUAUAGUUUGUUCUUAAAGCAGCUGCUUCAGCUCUUAGCAGUGUUUGUGCUUCAAGUUUGAAACCUACAUUAUACAGUGCUGAUACACAACUUGAAAGUAGCUGUUUGUUCAUGUUUUUCUUUUUUUUCCCCUUUGAUUGUUUUUUAUUUUGGAUCAAAUGUCUGCAUUACUUGUACAGAGAUGUGAAUUACAUAUAAAAGUUCACUACUGUAUAAAAACUGUACAACAGAGGAGAAAAAUAAAAUUUAAGAAAAGAAGCAACAAUUCACUGUAUUUGUCUAAGUGAAGGGUUUGUCUUAGUAAUUUCAUAACAUAUUCAACUAUCGCAAAUAUUUUGUCUUCUAAGAAUUUUUUCUUCAUUAUUUUCUGUUUAAAUCCCCUCAUCCCCUCCCCGUUAGUAAAAGAACAAUGAUUUUAACUUUUUACAUAAAAUGAACAUUAUCACAUAAUCAGGGAAAAUAAAAGUUGGAAUUGUGAUCAGCUUCAACAUGACAACUGGAGAUACUGCAGAACUCAUUAAACAUAGUACAAACAAAGGUUUUUAUUCAAAACAAUUUAGCAGAAUAUCUAUAAUUUCUGGUUAUUUUUCAUGAAUGAAUGAUAAUAUGAAAUGUGAGAUUUCAGGUAGGGAAUAUAUUGUGUGGCUG